AUUAUUGAGAGUUUGAUCCUGGCUCAGGACGAACGCUGGCGGCGUGCCUAAUACAUGCAAGUCGAACGCUUUUUCUUUCACCGGAGCUUGCUCCA
rnacentral:rRNA from 1 species